GCAGUGGUGGCUCAAUGGUUAAUGUGCCAGGUUACUGAUCAGAAGGUUUGGGGGUUCAAGCUCCAAACCCCCUCCUCUGCU